CAUAUGACUCUCAGCAAUAGAUAUCUCAACUCUUGCAUCGAUGAAGAACAUAGCAAAAUGCGAUAUGUGGUGUGAAUUGCAGAAUCCCACGAACCAUCGAGUCUUCGAAUGCAAGUUGUGCCUGAGGCCAUCCAGCCAAGGGCACGCCUGCCUAGGUGCCAAGC
rnacentral:rRNA from 1 species